GCAGUAGCCGCGGGAAUACGGAGGGUGCAAGCGUUAAUCGGAAUUACUGGGCGUAAAGCGCACGCAGGCGGUCUGACAAGUCAGAUGUGAAAUCCCCGGGCUUAACCUGGGAACUGCAUUUGAAACUGUCAGGCUGGAGUCUUGUAGAGGGGGGUGGAAUUCCAGGUGUAGCGGUGAAAUGCGUAGAGAUCUGGAGGAAUACCGGUGGCGAAGGCGGCCCCCUGGACAAAGACUGACGCUCAGGUGCGAAAGCGUGGGGAGCAAACAGGAUUAGAUACCCGAGUGUCCCUGUCUCUUAUACA
rnacentral:rRNA from 1 species